GAAAUGCGAUACGUAGUGUGAAUUGCAGAAUUCAGUGAAUCAUCAAAACCUUGAACGCACCUUGCACUCACGGUCAUGCCGUGAGUAUGCCUGUUUGAGUGUCAAUUAUAUCCAUUACAAUCACAAAACAAAAUUUUUUGUGAGUUGUUUAUUUUUGAGGGUCUGCUGGUUUUUUUGCAGUGGUCCCUUUAAAGUUAGCGGGGGAGUCUCGAUUAUUAGAGACUUGACUGCAACGUAACAGUAAAGAUUAACUUGAGUUAUGGUUGCUUGAGUGUUUUAAAAUCAAACUCCCUCUAAUAAUAACUUUGUUUUUGACCCUUUGACCUCAAAUCAGGUAAGGCUACCCGCUGAAUUUAA
rnacentral:misc_RNA from 1 species